CUGCAGCUUGCGGCACCCCGCUGGCCUCGGCGUGUCUUCCCGUGGCGAAGGGGGGCUGCCGUGCUGUCAUCGGUCGAAAAGGCUGUUGGGUGCGGGUUCGGCAGCUGCCUGCUAGAAAGAAAAGGUGUUUCCGCUUUAAACUUUCCACCAGUUCUAGGUGCCGUCGCGCGGGGCCGAGCCGUUACCUGCGGCGCGGCUGAGGGAAGCACAGGCUGAGGGCGGAGUGACACCUCGCCGUGGAAGUGCUGUUGGAAAUUCGGUUUCAGAGUUUGUUUAGAUGCGUUCGUCCACACGAAGGCGCUUUUGAACUUAAAAAUGAUACUUUCCAGGGACACCAAGGAGACAUUCCAGCUAGCAGCGACUAUCAAAUGGAGGAAGCUCUGGCAGAGGUUAACAGAUGAGAUAUUUCUUAGCCAUGACUUGUGAAGAAUUAUAGCCCUAAGUGCGCUCCUAAGACAAAGAGCCUUCUAAGAUCCAAGGAUGUCAUCUUACAUGAUUUUUACCCUUUUUUGGAAGCAUCUAAAGAAAAACUGGAAACUGCAGUGAUAUACGAAGAAUUGACAGCCCUUCCUCUUUUGCCCUAUGGAUGUUGUUCCGUACAGACAGAGCCCAGAGGAAUGGAAAGCUGUAAUUUUGCUGAAGUAUUGCAGUGAUGUGAACACGCUUCUCAAGACUCCCAUCCUUGCUUUCUCAGCAGGGAAGAUUGGCCUCUUUACAUUGGAAGACCUCUGUCUGUGGUGUAUGCAUGCCAGAGCUUUCCCACCUGCUUUUGACAAGCUGAAUGAAAUAUAUCAAACUCUUGGCAACUUCUACACUAGCUGUGAUAGUGAAGACUAAUGGUAUCUGUAGGAUUACUGCCAGAAGGAAGAAAAAAAAAAUCAUUUUAGACCCUUGCUUCAGAGAAGCCCUGUCAUGAAAGGGAGCUGGAAAGAUCUUUCCCCUGGAGUAAAGCAAAUGACAUGACAAAAGGAAGGAGAUUCAGAAAAUGACAGAAUACCUAUUUGGAGGGGCUGGAAACAGGCCUGCCCAGACAGGAGUCAGACCUCUGGAGCUAUGGUGUCCAAACAGUGCUAAACUACAUGGAAAUUUAGCAGAUAGAGAAGGAGAAAUAAUGCUCAGAAAGAAUGUAUGCCUACAGGAAAUUCCCAGCAUCAGCUGGCAACCAAGUCAGUGGACCAUUGCCAAAGACCACUAAAAAGCUCCUUGCUUAGCCAAGAGGACCUCUGCCAUAAUUCCCUGUCUUCCUGCACAAAGCUUUGUCUCCAGUGGUUCAUAUCCAGAAGUCUCCGGUUUGUUGCUACUAGUGUAAAUAGCUACCAAAGGGUGAAGACUGAGGUAAUAAGCAAGAUCAAAAUCAGAUCCUACCAGUUCAGCAGUAUGAAUUCACCAUGUAGAAGGUAAGCUCAAUGAGAGGAUGUUAGCACAGAAGUACCAACUCAAAGAUGCUUUGUCUUAACAGGAAAUUUUGAAGUUGAGAACACUCUACCAUGGGGUAAAGGUACCUGGUGAAAACAUGAAAAGCAUGAAGGCACAUGGUGAAAACAUGCAGAAUGGGGACGAUGCAGAGAAGACAGCACUGAAUUAUGUGUAUGUCCUGGAACUUCUUCCUAUGAGGAGUUUCAGGAUAUUAGACACUCUUGAGAUACUUAUUGUUCUAUUGCGUCUUCAAAGACUUAGGGCUUGGCCAAUUUUUACUUUUGGGAGUUGGAAGCAAGCCUUCCCUGAAAGUAGGGUGACUCGUUAAGAACUGCUGCAGGAUUGCUCUGCACCUUCUAGUAUACCAGUUUUGAGGAAGCAUCCCACAACAUUUAAAAAUCACAUUUUUACCAAUAUGUUUAUGGAAAAUGGUUGAGUAAGAUUGAAGGAAAGUUGUAAGUAUGGAAAGAGUAGAAUAAUCUUUUUGUGAAAAUUGCAGUUUGACAAAGAUAACAGUUUUUAAAGAAGCAUUUUAUUUUUUUGAUGUUCUAUCCCGGUGCUACCAGAGAAUAGCAAGGACAAGGAACACAUUUGCCCUUCUCUGAAAGCUGAAUAAUUCACUGGAUAAUCUCCAUUCUUAGUGAAUAGAAAGCUGAAAGCUAUAAAUUGUAUUUUAAAAGUUCGUUGUGAACACAGAGUGCUGCAGGAAGUAGCAAGCUUAUCAAAGAUCUUUAUGUUGCCUACAGUGUCAAAUGUUAUGUUCACCAGGAGACCAGACAAACAAAUUAGCAGGAUAUGUCACUAUAAUCUAGACUGAAAAAGGUCCCCUGAGAAAUUAAUUUCCGAAUCUUUAAUCUACCACAUUUUAUAUAAUUUUUAUCUACAAUAGUGCAGCUUUUCACACAUCCCUACUUUAAGAAAAAUGUAGUUAAAUACUGUUGGAAAAAAGGAGAGAAAAGGAAUUAAUGUGUUCUUUUUUAUCUAACCGUAUGUUUUCCCAAAUGCAACCUGAAGCCCAUUCAGCAGAAUAUUUACAUAUGUGCCUAUGUCAUUCAGAAUUCCCACACACUUCCAGUACUCACUGGAGCUCGUCUGAUGUUUUAAACUAGGUGUUGAAAUGCCCUACUGAAUCAGAGCCAUAAUUUGGAUUUCUUUUUCUUUAAGGUGGAGAACGAAGAGCUAACUCUUCCUCCCAGAAGCCACAAGAGUUUGUAAGAAAGGAGAUGAUGUGGGAAACCUUGUGCCCCUCUUCUCCUGGGUGACGUCAAGAGCAUUGCCAAACCUACUGUGUCAAAAGUAGUCCAGAUAGUGAGGUGUAAUGUGGCAGUCAGCUCCUUCAUCACCAUUUCGAGCAUUCUCAGAUUGUUGGCUUUGCACACAUGUAUUUUGUACCUGUGUUUGAGGAGAUGAACAUCUCUUCAGUUAAUGAAAACAUCAUGGAAAACAUAGAAGACAACUAUGAACCCUUCCAAAAGAUGGCAUUUCAGGGAACAGGCCUAUUCAGAAAGAAUUGAAUUAAAAUGUUAUGAAGGAAAUCCCAGGUUACAAGAUAGUCUCUGUUUUUAAAGGGCUAUUUCAGCUUUAGCCCAUUUCUCAUCAAAAUCAUGGCUUUGCAAGAAGUUAUGUCCAACUUGCGUGACAGAACAAUUUUAUUAGAAGAAACUUGUAUUAAUUUUAAAAAGCCAAUUGCAUGCUGUCAUGUGUGUUUUGUAGCAUCAAUCAUUGCUUCUGUCUGCUGAGUCUGGAUAAAGAAUUUAAUUGCUAAUAACAUAGGAAUUGGUCUGAUUUUGUGAAACUGAAAGGGAAGUGUUUUCUUCCUCCUCCAAGACACGCAAACCUUAAUCCUUAGGUCUUUUAAAGAAAAAACACUUCAUAUGAAUGCGACAGAGUAGGUAUUGUUUUGAAACGUGUGCACUGUGUAUGCUCAUGGACAUUCUUCUUCAUAUUCUACUUACAUAGCUGUCAUUGCAUGCAUAUUAAAAGAAAAAGUGGAAAAAGCACAGCCUCUGAAGAGAUCAUUAGUAUUUCAUUCCUCCCAAUAUAGUUAUUUCUUUAAUUUCUUUUCCCUUUCCCAGAGAAGCAGAUCAGAUUGUUCUAGACAGGAUGACUUAUCUAUGACUCUUCUCCUGCAUGGGACACUCACCAGUGUAGAAUAUCCUUUUAUCAAGUUGAUUCUAAAAUCACUAUGAUUUUAUGCCAUGAUAAAACAUAUCGUAUUGAAAGAGCACAUACUUCCUGUUACAAACACCCGUUAAGCAUUCCUCACGACAUCUGGGGAACCUGUCUUAUCCUAUUGCUUUCUUGUUGCUUUUCAGGAUAUUUCGCUGAAGGAGUGAGAACAAAUCAACUACAAACUUGCACAGAAAAAGCACACAAAUUUUAGAUGUCAAUCUCCAAUUACCAGAGACAGAAAGGGCAAAGGACCCCACUCCAGUGCCACACUCAAUAUUCCUCACAGCAGCUGGAUAUCUAGAGCCUGCCGUUCCUGAGGGAGUCCCUGAGACCUACUUGAUGAUGGGAGUGUUUCACAGCUACUCAGUCUGGAUGGAUGCCAAACCACAUUUCGGAGGGGUGAGAAGGGCCCAACAUCUGCUUCUGGUGUAACUGUUUGUAUCUUCGCUCUAGGAAAAUUAGGUUUGAAAUAAUCUCAAAUUGUCUGACACCUGUAUCCUAUUAGAAGUGACACAUGGAAACACCUUCAGCAUACCGAAUUUAGCACCAUGUCAACAGUUUAAAGUUAACAGGAAAAAAAUUGGUAAAAAUCAUUGCUUCCCAGUUUCUGCUGAAACAGAUCUUGUGUCAUUUCACGGGAUCAUACUGCAAGCUUGAUCCAUAAACAUAAUGGGGUUUGAACCAGUAUUUAUAAGGUGGUUUGUGUCCUUAGCUAUAGCUGGAAUUAAAUUCAGCACGCACCUCAAGGUGACCGGUGUACAGUGCUUUGAGCUCAGUGGAGGCACACCUAAGGGUUGGGUGCCAGCCAGCACCUAGGGCAUGAACACGCAGCCAUUUGUAAGACUCAAGUUCUUCUGAGAAGGACAUUCAUUAAAAUUCAUAAAACUUUAUGACUUUCAUAAAAUUCUUACGAACUAAAAUACACUAUCCAUUACAAAAACAUAUGUCUUCCCAUUCAUCUUUAAAUACAUUCCUUUUUUUCUGAGAACUUUGAAUCAAUUUGUUUUGAGAGAUUAAUUGUUUUUUAAUGCUAGUCUGAGAGUAAGAGAAACUUUUCUUUUUAGAUGGUAUUGUUUUUCAGCAGAUCUGCAUCUUCAAUGAGCAAUGUCUGGAGUUAAGAAAACAGGAAAAACCACUGGUCUUGAUUGUUUUUCUCUUCUGUUCCUGCUAAUUAUUUGGCACCAAGUGAGCGGUCAUUUUAUCAAGGAAAUAGCUGUGACAAGCACAGAGGACAUUUGCAGAAACACAGGCAGGUCAAAAUGUGUUUUAAGAGCUAGAAAACAGCAAAUUAACUUUUGGAAAUUUAAGCAGAGGGCCAAUACAGCAUGCUAAUGAAAAUUAUGUUAAAAGUAGAAAAGUGGGACGAUAAUGGAAAGAGAGCCCAAUAACACUGAACACUGAGGAAAAAAAGCACACAGGGUGCUGUAACAAGAAAGAGCAUCAAGCGCAAGUUUGGGCUCUUUUUAACCCCAGGAUCAACCACGUGGACUUCCUGUAUGGUGUGGCACUGGUGACACAGAACAAAGGAUAAUAGGUAAUAUUUUACAUGCACCCAUAGCUGAAAAAUAUCAGGGAAAACCUGGAGCACAAUGAAAUCUGUUUGAGGUGGAAUUUAUCCUAAGGGAACAGCUCCAGUGCCACAGCCUGCUUUUGGAAUAAUUUAAUGGAAACUGCUCCUACAGUCUUCCUUAGGUUUAAAACUCUCAGCUUAGGAGAAAAAAAAAAAUACGAAUAGACCCCUGCAAGCUUCCCAAGAAAGAAAAUGAUAAACGGCUGUGAAACGUGCAUGUACAUUGGAGGAACAGCUUUAAAGCAACAUGAAUUUGAACGAAGGAAGCUCACAGCUACAUAUUGCAAACAGUCUUCCAUAAAGGAUGUUACAUGGUAGGACAGUUCCCCCAAAAGGAUGCUACAAGUCACACACUUGAGUUAUUAAACAGCAGCAACAGUCUGAAGGGAACAGUAUUAAGACAGGCAGUAAUUCUUUAUUAGGAACAUCUGAUUAGAGGAUUUAUCUUUCUAAAGUAUUUUUGCCUAUUACUGAAAUAGAUGGGAGAAAAUAAGGGUGCCUUGUAAACAGCUGCUCUACCUUAGGUCCACACACACACACACACACACACACAAAAAAGCUUGAAACGACAAGGUGCCAACCUGAAUUCAGUAAGGCUGCAAUACCACUCUCCCUGUACUUCGGUGAUGUUAUAGCUGAGGUUCAACUGGAAUGUGGAUGCAGAGGCCUGCUAAUACUGAUCCCAACCAAAUCUCACGAUAAGCUAGCGCCCUCCCCGUGGGCAGCCUGGCCUCUGAGACAGACUUUAGCUGCUGGCAAGAUCCUCCCACACAUCCCACAACCUGUUUAUCCCUGCUGAGAUAUCUGUAAAGAACUGAAUCACGAGCUACACGUUUGUACGUGUAAACACAGGCUGUGAAACUCUGAACCGAAAGGCCAGCACAGCCUCAUCGCAUAUCCCAGCUCCCACCCUUGAACUUCCAAUUUUUUUUGAAAGUCAAUUUUAUCUUCGCACUCCUGAUUUUAAAUGCAUGAGCCCUCUUCAAAGUCUUAGCAAGUUUUUGCCCUUCAAAAAAUAGCCAGUCUUGGUUAUUCCUUGUUGGACCUUGCUAUCACAACUUGACAAAUGUGAAACAAAAUAACGGGUAAUAAAUUAUGAAUACAAAUCCCACAUUUGUCCCUGAGGAAGUACACCAUUCUUUUAAGGACAGACAACGCAGUCUCAUCCCAGCAUUUGUGUCUCCCUUUCAGAACAAAAAUAAAACAAGGAUCUGCUUAUCCUUUCCUUUUUGGUUCACCAAAAUGUAACUUCCUGCAAGAGCCUGAUCAGUGACUGAUAACGUCACCUCAUCUGAGCAGGAACAGCUUGGGGACUCUGGUGUGAGACAGGAAAAUACACCAGCUGGAACCCUGCAUGAGGAGGUACCAGCUUCAGUUACCUCUGUCAGCCCUGCUGCCUCUCCCCACGCUUAUAAAGACCAUAAAACAAACGUAACUCAGAGAAGAAAUACAGAAAAAAACGUAGGGAGAAGAGGACAAGGAAAUCCAGCAACUGAGUGGAUUAAUCACUUGUGUCUCGCACCUAGGAUCUGGGACCUGCUCAAACAUUUUCAGUUCAGUUACGUAAACCCAAGAUUUAAUACUCUCUUGUCAGCAACCACAGAAUUAUUUCACGGUGGCCAAGGCCUGACUGCACCUGAAAACAAAGUGCCCUAUUGCCUGUCUUUCCCUCUAAAACAAACUAAGCUCACAGGACUUUUUUUCCCAAAGAAACACCAUGCUCAUCGUGUGCCCUUUGUAUUUCAAGACAACGGAGCGGCUCCCCUCUGAAAGCCUGCUGUAAGCUGGCACAGCUCUGAUCCACAGGUCUCCACAAAGCUUUUAAUUAAGCCACACCAGUCUGUGUUGCUGAAAAUCUGCCCUUCGAUGUGGAAUGAUUUAUUAAAAGCUACAGGAAAAAUGCAGGUUUUGCUCCUUAUUUAACUGCUACUUACCUUAAAGACAAGAUGCACUCACAUCAGCUGGGCUUUGGGGAAGAAGAGCCACUUUCUGGCCUCCGAACAGCCCAAAACUCUGGGGAGUGACAAGCGACACUGGCAAGGGCAGCUCAGGACACGUGCUGUGGUGUUAGCCUUCCCACCUGGGGAACCUGAAGCAAAGAAAAACAGACGUUCACACAGAAGGUCAGUGCACCGUUCUGCAAGAACGUCUGGAUCCCAGCUGGGACUCUGGCACUAUUCUUUGUCUGUCUUCAGGAACCUAACCUUUCUGUAGGACCUAUCCAGAAGCGACCAUGCCUUUUACAAUAUAUUUUUACAAUACAUUUGUAAAGGACCGAAUAUGCCCGUUUAAAUAGACACGCUGGCUGAUUCAGAGAAAUACGAGAAAAAAAUAUCACAGCUAUCUUUCACUGAUGUGCACAGGAAACGUGAAUGGACAUUUUACAGAAAUUUCAAGCUUAUUUAUAUUUGUUAUUAACAUAAAGUAGACUCACUUCUAAUUUAUUGGUUUAACAAGACAUACACUGCUAAGGUCAAAGUCUUCUUAAAUGCUUUAAAAUCCAGUAUUGAUAAUUUUCUUACUGUUCAUCAAAACUGCCUUUUAACUUCAUUCAUAGAUGGUCCAAAUGAGUAAAAACACAACAUACAAAAAGAACUUUCUAAAAGAGCAAAAUCUUCUGUCAAACUGAAGCAAGUUCCUUCUGUCCUGGUACCACUAACACUUUCUGAUUUAUGGAAAUGUUAUUCCAUUCAUCUUCCUAAAAAUUCAUUGGAUUGGAAAAAUAAAAGGGUUGUUCACAUUGUACUUUCAAUGGAAAAUGUUUAUGACAACAUGAUUAUGGAGAAAAAUGCAAGCAUACCAAAGCGUAUUAAUAAUGGACAUUUUCAACGUUACUGAUCUGACCGAUUAUUUCUAAUUUGCUUUCUGAAAGGCUCAAAUUCUAUUUACUAACUCAGUAAACUCUCGGUGUUGCUCACAGCAAUGCAAGUUUGAACUCACUGAACUGGAAUUUCAAGACUUGUUCCCAAGCUCAUUUGGAGAAUAAGCGUGUUUGAGUAGGGUUGUGCUUUACCAGCCAAGAGCAUGCUUAGUUUUCACAGAAUACAUUCAGUGUGUAUUUGUCUGGCAGAAGUUACUCAGCAAUUUUGAGAAUUUGACCACAAUGUGUUAUCACCAGCAGAGAUUUUUCUCCACUGAACAUGCAAAUGCAACUUUUUCUGAGAAAAUGUGGUUUUGUUGCUUUCAGACACAAUUUGAGUGCAAAUUGCUCAGAUGCUGACAAUAUGACCAAAUAUUGAUGUUCGUGUUAUUUGGAUAGUGAUCCCGUAACAUAUUGCAUCUAUCAAACAAUUACCUUGUCACUAGCUCUUUAAAGUCUAGAAAUAUGGAUACGCACAAGCAGCUUUGUGGAUGCAUGUCAUUCCCCACACCACUAACUUGCAGCUGGGAAACUAACAACCUAAUAUUUGUACCUUGUUGGGCAACAUGAUGUUCUAACAAUUCAUUGUGCAAAGGAAAUGCAGACUUCUGAAAGUAUUUUUUGCUGAUUCUCUUGGCUUCCAGUAGAUUUUAUUGCACUCUAAACCAGGAAUUGUUGAAAUUAUUCUGAAUUUUGUUGUUGACUUCAGCUGAAACAGGAAUGAACAUCAAUUCAGCACAUAACUGACUACUUAGGUAAGUCUCCAGCCCCAGCUGGCUGAAACCCUAUGUAUGCAUAGGAAAAGUUCUGUCUUUACUCUGGCCCUGGUAUUUCUAAACUGCAUAGAUUAUUAUAAUAUUCAAAGAAGACUCAGGAAAAAGGCUUCCACAUUUUAAAAUAAACAAAUAGUUUUCUUUAGCUUCUAAGGAAAUUGAGAAAAGAGAACAGCACUCUCUUUUUGCCCUCUUCCUCUUUUUCUAGCACGAAUUUUGAACCAACCAUUUCGUGUAUAUUCUGGUUAUUAUUUUUCCCAUUCAUAUCUGCAUUCCUAGCAUGGUCUAGAAUCAGAACUCUAACAAGAUUCCUUUACAGGGCAGAUGAAAAUAUCUUUAAUAUGAAUUAAGAGAAAAUUAUUCACCGAAGAGCUAAAAUCCCUAAAUUUCUCAUUUAAAGUCAGUCAAAACCAUUAAUCUAAACUGUUAACGUGCAAAUGGAAGCCCAAAACCAUGUCAUGGCAGGCAGCGAAGGCUCUUCAAUGUUUUAUACCACUGAGGACUGCAGUCGAGCCACGGUGGUAUGGACACACCUCGGCUGCACCACAGACAUGAUUAUGUCAUUUCCAUUCAUAAAUACCUUGGUUCUGACACAAACUGCUUAAACCGCAUGCUUAUAUCUAAGCAUGCUUGCAGACCUUGUGAAGAUUUAUGAUUACUGGAGAAAUACCAUAGAAUCUUUAAGGUUGGAAGAGACCUCUAAGAUCAUCAAGUCCAACCGUCAUAUUCUACAGUGAGAUUCAUCCCAUUCAUCUCUAUGUUCUUCCCUUUACUUUCUCUAACCUAAAGGUCUAGACACUUUAUUCUUACUGACAUAGAAGGGCUAUUUUUUUUACUAUGGUCAUAUAGAAAGUCUUCAUCAUUAGCACCACAAUAAAAGUAAUUAAAUAGAUGAGCAAGAGAAAUCCAUCGAUUGCAUGAAACUUAUUUCUUCACUUCUACUCUUUCCUUUUUUAAAUGACAACUGUUUGGAACAAGGAUCCUGCUCCUGCAAAGCAGCCAAUGUUAACUUGUCAUUCUAGUAAUGAUGAUAACAGCCAAAAUGUCAGGAACCACAUAAUGUAAUUUGCUGUAUUGUGAUGUGUUUGGAUAGCAACUGUAAAAUUGCCAUUUUUUACAGCUUUUCAGGAUUUAUAAAGAAAAACCCCACAAUUUUACUGUGUUCAUUACCACACCAAAAUCACCACUUUUCUAGUGACUUGCCCAAAUUUCGAUACCAGAAAGAAUGACAGCCUCUUAAGUUUGCUAUCUUAUUUUUACAAAAGAGCAUAAAGGAAUACAGACGCAGGGCUCUGUCAAUCCUAACAACAGUAGGGUUUUCUAACGUGCAGUGAUUUCACUAGAUUCAAUUUAGAUGUGCUUUCAAACACCAGCAGCUAAAAGCUGCUACAGUGUCCGUCCCUGUCUCCAGUAGCUUGUUGGACUGCGUCGGGAGAUAACAGAUUGACAUUAUUACUGAUCUUGGCCAAAUGCUGUUGGUACAGCGCUCAAGGUCAUUCGCAGCUUACCUCUGCAUGUGCUGGGUGAUGUACAGCAGCGCUCAGCUGCGCUGAUGGGUUCAUCGUUCUCCAAGGCAGUGACCAAUGUUGAGCAUCUGGCUGAAAGGCUGUUUGAUCUUCCCACUGCUUUGCAGGCAAUACCACACUGCUCAGGGAGAAAAAAAUAAAAAAGGAAAAUAAAAAAGCCCACUAUUGAAAAGAUUUAUCAGCAAACGUAGUAGAGCCAUGCUUGACCUCCGUAUCUUGUCUUGUUCCCCAAAGGCAGCACAUGUAAGUUAUUUCCUGUCUUUCAUGUUACUGACUGGAAUGCAUCAUGAAGUCCAAAUUUGCAACCUGCUGUCUGUUUUAGUCAUUAGGCAUGACUUUUUGUCUCUUGAUGAGAGCUGCGGCCAACUGUUCACUGUUGUAAUGCAUAAAUUUUUCAGUUUUCCCCCCUCCUCUGAACAAAUAAACGAAAAAACCCAACUAGGCUGAAAGCUGAAAUUCACUCAUCAUCCGAGGCUUCUGUGUCUUACAGUAUCUCAUUUCCACAUCAGCACAUCAUACUCUGCUCUAGACCACCAAAACGUUAGUUGCAGAGUGAAUAGCCUCCACCUAUUAUUCAUGGGCCAAAUUCAAAGGUUACUGAAAAACAAUGAAAAGCAUCUACUAGAUUUCAAAAGAGCUGAUCAGUGCCAACACUUAUACAACUAAGCACGCAAGUUGGAGUUUACUGGCUGCAACUUGGAUCUACACUCACUUACCUGUCAAUAACAUCCAUGCAUUGUGAUCUUCAUGUUAUUUUUUAAAAUUAUGUCCACUCUGCAAAGACAUGCCACAAGUUAUGAAAUUAAGCUAUUGUGUUGUCUUUGCCAGGUGUUGUAUCUUGGAAUAUUGUUCACAAAACAGUCACUAGGCAUUUUAGCCUCUGACGAUCUUCAAAGUCAACUGAAGACAAUUUAUAAGGACAUUAGAAUAUACAGUGUAAAAUACCGGUCAUGUUUUGAUCCCCACAAGCUGUACACAAGUACUGGUUAUGCCUU